AGGCUGCCCGGAGGAGGCAGCGGCGGCGGCAGCGCGUCCUCGGUCCCCAGGACCACGGCUUCUUUCCUGCCAGAUCUAUCCAUCUGGCCAUCCAUCCGUGGGGGUCUGCAAUGGCCACCUUUAGCCGCCAGGAAUUUUUCCAGCAGCUACUACAAGGCUGUCUCCUGCCUACUGCCCAGCAGGGCCUUGACCAGAUCUGGCUGCUCCUUGCCAUCUGCCUCGCCUGCCGCCUCCUCUGGAGGCUCGCUGCACAUGGUUUGGGUCGUGCUGCUCAGCCUCCUGUGCUACCUCGUGCUGUUCCUCUGCCGACAUUCCUCCCAUCGAGGCGUCUUCCUAUCCGUCACCAUCCUCAUCUACUUACUCAUGGGUGAGAUGCACAUGGUAGACACCGUGACAUGGCACAAGAUGCGAGGUAGGUAGCCCUGCCCCUCUCACCUGCCCAACCCCCCUGCCCCACUCCUCGUCUCCUAACUGCCCCCACCCUGUGCCUUUCCUCCCCUGCUUUUCUCCCUCACCUGCCCACCCCACUGGACGUGCAGACCUCACAUUACUCUCGGGUCCGUGUCUCUUUCCACCGUGCAUUUUCCCGAAGUCUGUCUGUCUCGUGUCAUGUAUGUGCCUGACUCUCUGGAGUAAGGGCAUCUAUCUGUCCUGGGCUUCCUUGCCCACCUGCCUAUCUGUCCCAUGCCCACCUAUCCAUCCUUGUGCCCGCUUUUCCUACCACAUCUCACCUGGUGCACCUCCUCCUUGCCAUGCUGAUCUGCUCUCUGCCCAUCCACUUGACCAUGGGCACCACACAUAGGGGCACAGAUGAUUGUGGCCAUGAAGGCAGUGUCUCUGGGCUUCGACCUGGACCGGGGCGAGGUGGGUACGGUGCCCUCGCCAGUGGAGUUCAUGGGCUACCUCUACUUCGUGGGCACCAUCGUCUUCGGGCCCUGGAUAUCCUUCCACAGCUACCUACAAGCUGUCCAAGGCCGCCCACUGAGCUGCCGAUGGCUGCAGAAGGUGGCCCGGAGCCUGGCACUGGCCCUGCUGUGCCUUGUGCUGUCCACUUGCGUGGGCCCCUACCUCUUCCCGUACUUCAUCCCCCUCGACGGUGACCGCCUCCUUCGCAAGUGGCUGCGAGCCUACGAGAGUGCUGUCUCCUUCCACUUCAGCAACUAUUUUGUGGGCUUUCUUUCCGAGGCCACGGCCACGUUGGCGGGGGCUGGCUUUACCGAGGAGAAGGAUCACCUGGAAUGGGACCUGACGGUGUCCAAGCCACUGAAUGUGGAGCUGCCUCGGUCAAUGGUGGAAGUUGUCACAAGCUGGAACCUGCCCAUGUCUUAUUGGCUAAAUAACUAUGUUUUCAAGAAUGCUCUCCGCCUGGGGACCUUCUCGGCUGUGCUGGUCACCUAUGCAGCCAGCGCCCUCCUACAUGGCUUCAGUUUCCACCUGGCUGCGGUCCUGCUGUCCCUGGCUUUUAUCACUUACGUGGAGCAUGUCCUCCGGAAGCGCCUGGCUCGGAUCCUCAGUGCCUGUGUCUUGUCAAAGCGGUGCCCGCCAGACUGUUCGCACCAGCAUCGCUUGGGCCUGGGGGUGCGAGCCUUAAACUUGCUCUUUGGAGCUCUGGCCAUCUUCCACCUGGCCUACCUGGGCUCCCUGUUUGAUGUCGAUGUGGACGACACCACAGAGGAGCAGGGCUACGGCAUGGCAUACACCGUCCACAAGUGGUCAGAGCUCAGCUGGGCCAGUCACUGGGUCACUUUUGGAUGCUGGAUCUUCUACCGUCUCAUAGGCUGACGCACAUCUGUGGACCCUCAUAACCCUCUUAAGACCCCUCUCAGGGUGCCACUGAUGGGGGAUGAGGGAAGGCCCUCUCUCUACUCCUUGACCCCCUCCAUCCUUGACCCCCAACACCUCAACACACACACACACACACACACACACACACACACACACACACAAUCACACCAUUUUCAUGCCUGUCAAUCCCCACCCCACCACAAGGCAGGAAGGGGGUGGUGCCUGCUGGGGCCUAGAGGGGGAUGCUUGGGGAAACAGAGAGGGGGAGAUCCAGGGCCUCCCCGCCUUCCUUCUUCCUUUUUAUAUACAAUUUGUUAUUGUCAAAUAAAAGUAGGAAAUAUUC
rnacentral:sRNA from 1 species